rnacentral:tRNA from 5 species
AAUAGCUCAGUUGGUAGAGCAAUCGGCUGUUAACCGAUUUGUCGUAGGUUCGAGUCCUACUU